rnacentral:rRNA from 1 species
UACGGAGGGUCCAAGCGUUAUCCGGAAUCAUUGGGUUUAAAGGGUCCGUAGGCGGGCAAUUAAGUCAGAGGUGAAAUCCCACAGCUCAACUGUGGAACUGCCUUUGAUACUGGUUGUCUUGAGUUAUAGUGAAGUAGAUAGAAUAUGUAGUGUAGCGGUGAAAUGCAUAGAUAUUACAUAGAAUACCGAUUGCGAAGGCAGUCUACUAACUGUAUACUGACGCUAAUGGACGAAAGCGUGGGGAGCGAACAGG